CAAGUACCUGCCAAACGCUGUUGUGGAAACCUCUUUCCUGGGAAAACAAAGGUCAUGACAUUUUGAGCACAAUCAAGUGUGGGAUGCAUUCAUCAAUAGAGCUGGAAGCACCAACCACCAUAGGAGCACCUGUGAAUGCUCACUAAGAUGUACCAACAGGAAGACCACGACUUCAAGUCUUCAACCAGUCC
rnacentral:lncRNA from 1 species